GAUGAAGAACGUAGCGAAAUGCGAUAAGUAAUGUGAAUUGCAGAAUUCAGUGAAUCAUCGAAUCUUUGAACGCACCUUGCGCUCUUUGGUAUUCCGAAGAGCAUGCCUGUUUGAGUGUCAUGAAAAUAUCAACCUUGACUUGGGUUUUGUGCUCUAGUCUCGGCUUUGAAUUGGGUGCUUGCCGCUUUUACGAGCGGCUCACCUUAAAUGUAUUAGCUGGAUCUGUCUUUGAGACUUGGUUUGACUUGGCGUAAUAAGUAUUUCGCUAAGGACAUUCUUCGGAGUGGCCUCGUUUCUAGGACGCUUGUCCGCUUUCCAAUACAAGUUCCACCUCGUGGACAUUACUUUUUAUUAUCUGGCCUCAAAUCAUGUAGUACUACCCGCUGAACUUAAGCAUAUCAAUAAGCGGAGGA
rnacentral:misc_RNA from 1 species